rnacentral:lncRNA from 1 species
CCCCCCCAUGUAAGAGAACAUCGGGGACGCCCCACACUUGGGGGUCUGCCCCACACCUGGAGGUCCCACCCCACACUUGUGGGUCUGCCCCAUAGAUCCAGAGCUUGCCCCAUAGCUAUGUACCCACCCCAUAAGCCCAUUAGGACCCCAUGUAACAGCCCAACAGUUACGGGACCCCCACUUGUGGGUCUGCCCCACACUUGGGGGUCCCACCCCACAUUUGUAGGUCUCGCCCCACACUUGUGGGUCUGCCCCAUAGAUCUGGAGCCCCUCCCCCCUCUAUAAAUCCCUUAGGACCCCAUGGAACAGCCCAACGGUUACAGGACCCCCCAUGUGUGGGUCUGCCCCACACCUGGAGGUCCCACCCCACACUUGUGGGUCUGCCCCAUAGAUCCGGAGCUUGCCCCAUAGCUAUGUACCCGCCCCAUAAGCCCAUUAGGACCCCAUGUAACAGCCCAACAGUUACGGGACCCCCACUUAUAGGUCCUGCCCCACACUUGGGGGUCUGCCCCAUAGACCUGGAACCCCCCUCCUCCCCCCUAAGUUCAUUAGGACCCCCACGUAACAGCCCAGCAGUUACGGGACCCCCACUUAUAGGUCCUGCCCCACACUUGGGGGUCCCGGCCCCACACUUGUGGGUCUGCCCCA